GACGGGGGAUGCAAGCGUUAUCCGGAAUCACUGGGCGUAAAGCGUCUGUAGGUGGUGAUGCAAGUCACUGGUGCAAAACUCUGGCUCAACCGGAGGAAAGCCAGUGAAACUGCAUGACUAGAGUGUGGGAGAGGUAGAAGGAAUUCCCUGAGUAGCGGUGAAAUGCGUAGAUACAGGGAAGAACACCGGAGGCGAAAGAGUUCUACUGGAACACAAUUGACACUGAGAGAUGAAAGCUAGGGGAGCGAAUGGG
rnacentral:rRNA from 1 species